rnacentral:misc_RNA from 1 species
AGGGCUUGACAUGCACGGGAAUGUCGUAGAAAUACGGCAGCCCUUCGGGGCUCGUGCACAGGUGGUGCAUGGCUGUCGUCAGCUCGUGUCGUGAGAUGUUGGGUUAAGUCCCGCAACGAGCGCAACCCUUGCCAUUAGUUGCUACAUUCAGUUGAGCACUCUAAUGGGACUGCCGGUGACAAACCGGAGGAAGGUGGGGAUGACGUCCCAAGGUUGGUU